AGGAGAAAAAAAUUUUCAAAUGGGGGUUUUUUUGGUGUCGGCAAAAAAAAAAACACCGCGAAAAGAGAAAAAAAAAAAUUGUAUGGUGAAAAAAUUGGGAAAAACUCAUAAUUUUUUUAGAACCCACCAAGGCCCCCCAAAAAUUUGGGGGGGGUUUUUUUUAAAG
rnacentral:rRNA from 1 species